rnacentral:rRNA from 1 species
UACAGAGGUCCCAAGCGUUGUUCGGAUUCACUGGGCGUAAAGGGUGCGUAGGUGGUGAGGUAAGUCGGAUGUGAAAGCUCCGAGCUCAACUCGGAAAUGGCAUUGGAAACUACCUUGCUAGAGGGUUUGAGGGGGGACUGGAAUACUUGGUGUAGCAGUGAAAUGCGUAGAUAUCAAGUGGAACACCAGUGGCGAAGGCGAAUCCCUGGAAAAUACCUGACACUGAGGCACGAAAGCUAGGGGAGCAAACAGG